rnacentral:piRNA from 1 species
GCCAGAGAAGAGUCAGGGUGCCAGUGU